CCUACGGGAGGCAGCAGUGGGGAAUAUUGGACAAUGGGGGCAACCCUGAUCCAGCCAUGCCGCGUGUGUGAAGAAGGCCCUCGGGUUGUAAAGCACUUUCAGUGAGGAAGAACGCCUGGUGGUUAAUACCCAUCAGGAAAGACAUCACUCACAGAAGAAGCACCGGCUAACUCCGUGCCAGCAGCCGCGGUAAUACGGAGGGUGCGAGCGUUAAUCGGAAUUACUGGGCGUAAAGCGCGCGUAGGUGGCUUGAUAAGCCGGUUGUGAAAGCCCCGGGCUCAACCUGGGAACGGCAUCCGGAACUGUCAAGCUAGAGUGCAGGAGAGGAAGGUAGAAUUCCCGGUGGAGCGGUGAAAUGCGUAGAGAUCGGGAGGAAUACCAGUGGCGAAGGCGGCCUUCUGGACUGACACUGACACUGAGGUGCGAAAGCGUGGGUAGCAAACAGGAUUAGAUACCCUUGUAGUC
rnacentral:rRNA from 1 species